UACGUAGGGUGCGAGCGUUGUCCGGAAUUACUGGACGUAAAGAGCUCGUAGGUGGUUUGUCGCGUUGUUCGUGAAAACCGGGGGCUUAACCCUCGGCGUGCGGGCGAUACGGGCAGACUUGAGUACUGCAGGGGAGACUGGAAUUCCUGGUGUAGCGGUGGAAUGCGCAGAUAUCAGGAGGAACACCGGUGGCGAAGGCGGGUCUCUGGGCAGUACUGACGCUGAGGAGCGAAAGCGUGGGGAGCGAACAGG
rnacentral:rRNA from 1 species